UAAUUAAGAACUUUUUGAACGCGUUCCUUGAUGCCACGCGUCAUACAUGGAAAGUUGUACUCUCUCUCAUCUCUAUCUCUCUUUGCUCCUCUUCGUUCUUUUGUUUCCAAUUUUAGGUAGAAUCAUCUUUAUCUUCUUCUUUAGCAAUCCAGCUUUAAUUUUCUUUCAAUCUGAUUGCUGCAUCUGGGUUUUGCAAAUGUUCUUUGAGCAAAGCUUUUGAUUAUGUUUUGCUUCGUGACGACUUGAAGAAGAAGAAGCAAAUUACGCUCUUCGUGACGACUUAUCUAACUACCUUCGUACGAUUUCAUCUGGUACGACUCAGACGGCUCUGAUCCGGGUAAAAGCAAUCAAAAUCGGAUCUUGUUGUUGGCUGCUGCUGGUCUUAAUGCUGUGGUCUUCACCAGGAUGGUCAUUUGCAGCAUUCGUAUCUUCUCAAUCGUUGCGGUCGUUUGCAUUUCCUUUGUGCUUCCUAUAAACUAUUACGGACAAAAGAUGGCGCACAAGGAAGCGCAUCUGGAGUCGUUGUCUAUUUUUCACUAUUGAGAACCUUAAUCAACGGUCACGAUGGCUGUGGGUUCACUGUAUCUCAUUGUACAUCAUAACCUCUGCGGCAUGUGCUCUUCUUUACUUUGAGUAUAAGACCAUAGCUAAAAAGAGGCUGGCAUUUAUUGCUGCAUCGUCCUCAAAGCCAAGUCAUUUUACCGUACUCAUGCGUGCCGUUCCUCAGUCUCCUGAUCAAUCUUACAGCAAAACAGUGAGACAAUACUUCACAAAUUACUAUGCACCAAGCUAUAUGUCGCACCUGAUGGUCUACCGUGAUGGCCUCAUUCAGAGACUGCUGGUAAUGCGUUUUGUGUUAUUCUUGCAACAUGUUGGCUUGAUUAUCCUGUUAUAACCUCAUGUUGGCUUUUUAAACUUUCACUAAUGUGUAAUAUGUUGAUUGAUCAUUGUUUGUUGCGAGUGUCCUCUACGCUUCCAAAAGGUUAUCAGAUGUCGCUGAUGUCGUUAGGCAUUUCUCUGCAUACGUUUGAACCGUUAUGAUGAAAGCUUUGAGCUAUGUUUUUAUACUAAGAGACAACAUAAAAGUUUUACCAAUAAUCUGCAUAUUUAACAUUGUUUCUUAACAACAUUUCUUAAUCUAAAAAUAAUAAUAAAAAAUGCUAAGACACCUAAAAUUUGUCCCAGCAAUAAUAUUGCUCUUAUGUUUUAAAAAUAGGGAAACAUACUUUUAGGGGAACAUCUUAAUCUUGUUUCAUGUGAUGCUCUACCUUUUUGCGAGCCUCUUUUCAUACUUUUUAUACAAGGGAUUGAUUUACUAAUAAUAUAUGAUUUAUUCUCUGAGAGUUUACAUGGGGCAGGUGAGAUUAGUCACAUGACUCACAUAACAAGCUCACAUAGUCGUUGGACUUAACAUUCAUCAAUCAUCAUACAUAUUUGUUUGUUCCUAUUCCACAAAUUAUACCACCAUUCUGUAGAAUAAAAUCUGAUAACGAUUUUGGCAACUGGCAUGGUGCCGGAAAAGAAGUCGAAGCUAUAUAAAACUAGUUCACUAAAAAAUAAUGGGAAAUUUUUUUAAAACCAAAAUUGAUAACUAUGUCUUAUUAGGUUAAUCUCUUUUUGUACCAUUUUUUCUAAUAUCCUUUAGUAUUUUCUAAAAUAAAUCAAAUUAAAUAGUUUUACAAACAAAAAAAAUAAAAAUAGUAAAUUUUGAUGAAAUACCUAUAUCUAUGUAUUGAUAUUUUUUCAGUUCUAAAAAUGUUUAAAUCAUAAUUUAUAUUUUGUUCUAAAAAUCAGAAUUGACAUUCUACAUCGUAGAAAACGUAGUCUACUUUUUCAUUGAAUCUACUACGUUUAGAUAUGUGUUCUACGUAAAUAAUAGUAAUCUAAAAAAAUUUGGAAAACACAUUCCGCUCUUAACCUAUCAUUCUAAAAUUUGUAGAAAUCGGAAUCUACACUUUACUAAAAAUCUAAAACUUGUACAAAUCAGAAUUUACACAUUAUUGUAAAUCUAAAACUAGUAAAAAUCGAUUUCAAACAUGUAUACUGUAUUCUACACUCUACGGAUAAGGCUAAUCAGUUCCAAAAACAUGGAAAGUGAAUAUUUGGAAAUAUUUAGUUUCCUUAAACUUAUUAAUUAAAUCAUUUUUUGUUUUAAAAAAUCGUUUUAAUAGAAAAUCGGUUUAUAAAAAAAUAGAAAUCUAUUUUCUUUUAAAAUAAAUAGAAAAUCGGUUUUCAAAUAAAAAUUUGAUUUAUAAAAAUAGAAAAAUUGAUUUAUAAAAAAUAGAAAAUCGAAUUUCUUUUAAAAAAUAGAAAAUCGUGAGUUAUAAAAUCAGUUUUAAAAAAAAAUCAAAUUUAAAAUUUAAAAUAAAAUUAAAAGAAUCAAACUUUAGGAUUUUAGGAUUUUUAAUAUUUUUAAUUACUUUAGUUAAAAAUUAUAUUUUAAUAUUUAACAAUUUUUUAAUUGUAAUUUCGAAUUUUUAAUUGAAAUUAGGGGCAGUAUUGCCAUUUUGAAAAACAUUAACCUAAUAAGACAUAAAGUAUAUGAGAUUAGUCUAGUAAGACAAAGUUAUCAUUUUUUAGCCUAAAAAAACAAUUUUUCCAAAAAUAAUUAUUAGUUGAUCUUUCUCUAAAAUAAAAUAAAAUUCUACUUUCCUGUUUCUCAGCACCAAUUUGUGAAUAUAAUCCAUCAAAGUAGCUAUUUUUUUUUUAAAUGUUUCUUUUUUACGAGGUUGACACUAACGAGCAUUGUGACUAAGGACUUUUGUUUAGCCUGUAACGGCUGCGCUACAGGAAAAGAACACAACUUCCUAGCUUUAUCCAUGCUACCAUCUCAGCACAAAUAUACUAAAGCUACUAUGUACGGACACAUAGGGCAUGCAUGUCAAAAUGGUGACGAGGAAUCAUAUACAUAACGCUGCAAAGGCUAAAGGGGAUCCCAAAGGGCCAAAACGUAGAAGAAGUUACCGGGGAAUCCAACGCUUGUCAGAUCCAUCACAUUCACAGAUCGAAAGAGAAGUGAAUAAUGCAGAUGCUUUAAGUAAGCUAGCUCGGCAAACCAGGAAACACUUGCAAGAAAGAAAUAAACAGUCGGACAUACUAGCAGGUGAACUGUUAUAUUAAUAUUUGUAACUACAUGUUUAUUAGAGAUUUUGUUUU